rnacentral:lncRNA from 1 species
CCACACAAGAAAGGGUGGAACAAACAGGAAAAAGAGGCGGCCAUGGCGUCCUGAAGGUUAAGAGAAACAAAAACAUAGAAGUCUUCACAACAAGUUAUGCAAGCACAGGCGCAAACACAGAAAUCUAGGUGUGUUUAUUUUGUCACAACCCUGAUCUGUAGCAACACUCGUAGUAUUCUGAUCUGUUUGGCAGAAGACACAGGAAUCUCAAAAAAUAUCCUCCUACCUCUCCCCUUGAUUUGAUUCUUCAAAGAUUCUGGGUACAAGGUCUUUAGAAACUUGAAGCCAGAAUUGUCGAUUCGUUUUGCCUGUGAGCGAUCCUGACCUGCAUAUAUGCAUAGGAAAUGUUAGGUUGGCUUGUGCACAACUGAAUUGUAAUAAGUUGCUUCACAUAUAGUUGGUUUAUAAGUAAAAAUAUUGUUGGUUGCUUGCCUUUCACGACAAAAUGACCUAUAUGUUCCCCAGAUAGUACUAUGCCAGUUUGUUUGUGUGAGAACUUUUUAGAAUGCACCAUUUUUGUGUGGAAAAAGCAACUUUACUCUAAAAUCCAGAUUUAUAAAUGGAUCAUCUUAACAUGAAAUGCAAAUUAACAUGCUUGUGGCCUAGGCAAUGUACUAUACCAUCUAGGCAAGCUAAAUUAGAUUGUUCCAGCUACUACAUUACUGGAAAGAAAACUGAUAUGCCCCAGUAGUAAAAAUUACCAAUUCAGACAAGGAUCCUCUUUGUGCUAUUGUGGAACAUGGAAAACUUGCUACAAAAAUCUGGUGCAAGACACAGCUACUGCAUCUUAAAUAAGACAAUGGAUAAGCUACAUUAUUGCUGGACUGUGGAGAAGAAACUUUACUAUGCUAAGUAAGGAACAAAGAAAAGCAGAAAAUAUCAACGAAAUGACUUGAGGAGUUGAGUAAAAAUGCCAUAUCUAUCUAUCUAUCCAUCUGCGUAGCAACAAUCACAGAUGAAAAGUAAGAGCGUUCUCUCAGAAAAAUGCCUCAUGUUGUCCCAAAGGUUUAAUGGAAUGUAUUGUAUCAGGCAUCUGAUCAGUGUUUUGUUUUUGCGGGUUAGGCAUCUGAUCAGUGUUGACCAACAAAGACCCAAAAACACAAAGUGAGCAACGACGCAGGCUCUUGCACGGACAUACAGAGGAUAAACGAAACCCUUGCUUCAUUAACACUAAAAAGGUGGGAGAACUAGAUGUAUCAAAUGGCCUGGAAAAUCUACUGAGCACAAGUAGAUUGCUUCUCUCUAUCUGUUAUAUCUCUAUCUCUUCUACCUCCAUCUCUAUCUACCUAUCUACUUGCUUCAUUGGCACACACAAAAAUACAACAAUGGCAGAUCGCCAUGAAGAGAUAGACAUAAGAAACUUGCUUCGCUGGCACAAACAAAGUGAGAGAGGACUUGCUUUAUCAAUUUGCCUGAGGAAAGCUACUUAUAUACCACAAGUAAAUUGCAUGUUUCGAUGAAAACAAAAUGCUACAACCAGUCUCACUAGAAAGCACAAAAAACAUGCCCCCUCGCGCUAAGAGAGCAGUUUUUUGUAGGUCGAGCUACAUGGCACCCACUACCUUAACCAUUCAAAUGUUUGCUCAGGUGCAUCUGGAUAUGUGCACAGAUUCACAAAUAAGCUGCUGCACCAGGCGGUCACCGCUUAAUAGUCUGACGCCUACCAGGGUACAGUACACGCCAUGAUAUACCAUGUGCUGCUGCAUGCAUUUGUCCACAAGCAACGCACAGCAUCCCAAGCUUUUGUCUUGCAGCAUCUGUCUUGUGCUACAGUGAAAGAGAGGGACAGGGAUGACAUGCAUUUAAAUAUUUGCCAAUAGUGAUGAGUGAUAAUCUGACGUUUUAUCUAGAGCUUGUUUUUUUAUUGACGUUUUAACAUAUUUUGUGUGUGUGAAAUAUCUGACAUUUUAUCCAACAAUGAUUCAGUCAUGUACUUAAAAUACAACGAAGAUAAUCUUGCUUCGUCCUAUGAUCGCUGUACUAUACGUGGAUGCUUUGUUUUAUCGCAGAUGGAUGUGGGGGCGGCUGAUAAGACGCAACAGAGAUAAAUGUGACAGGCGUCAGCGGUGGGAGGACCCACAAGGACUAGCAUACAGGGCUAUUCCUUCUUUGGAUUACUGUUACCUAGACAGGACAGCGCCUGCAAAGGAUGUUGCAUGAAACAGCUACGCGCACAUGUUGCUCUUUUCCUGCACCAAUCACGAAGCAAGCCAACGGUCCAGAUAAGAGGGACCGUGUAGCUUGCGCUAGGAAGGAACUUUGCGCUCGCGCUAAUCCUCACCUGUCUUCUGGAGGUGUUUGUGAGCAUGCCCCUUGACGGUAAAAACAUUGGCUAAAAAAACAUUCCCCAAAAAUCUACGUACUGUAAUUCGUAAGAAUGAACAAGGGGUGCUCCACUCCCUCCUCAGCAAGAAUCGUAAGAAAACGAGCGCUUCUAAUCGAUGAACGGGUGCUCUGCUCACGGCCACCCUUCUAAAUCGGCCAAGAGAGUGGCUCUGGUCCUUGCGCAGCUACUGAAUGGGGGUAAACUGCCGAAUCAACGCGAGAAAAUCGUCUGGCCCCUUUCGAAUCUGGCCCCGUGGAGCGCGCGCAUACCUGAGGUUUGGUCAUCGGCGGCAGGCAGGCUGGGUCGAUGCUGCGCUCCUCCUUUCGCCGGCGCCCCCCGUUCCGCGGGCUCCAUCCAAUCCAGUUGCCCCUCCCCUCAAACGUCUAGCGCCGCCGCGACCGCCCUGCUUCGCUUCUCUCCCCUCUCCAUCUUCCCCUGCCUUGAGUGACCCAAG